AACCACGUAGCUCAGUUGGAAGAGCAUUGGGCUAGUAUUCCAAAGGUCGUAGGUUCGAAUCCCGCCGUGGCCA
rnacentral:tRNA from 1 species